rnacentral:rRNA from 1 species
CCGAAAAUAUCCGGGGCUCAAGCACAGAACCGAAGCCGCGGCAGGGUGUACAUAUCUACAGAGCGUUCAAAGCGCAGGAAAAAUUGGUAUCUGCAAGGAAACCGAGAGCGGCGUAGUAGAGCUACGUCAAACGAGGUUGACACAGCAGAGAGCAAUUUUAACAAGCUUUUUGAGCGUUGUGCUGAUGUGUACACACUGGGUAGGGGAGCGUUCUUACUUGGAAGAAGGCAGACCGGAAGGACUGCUGGACGAGUAAGAAGUGAGAAUGCCGGUAUGAGUAGCGAAACGACAGGUGAGAAUCCUGUCCACCGAAAGCCUAAGGGAUCCUGGGCAACGCUCGUCGCCCCAGGGUAAGUCGGGACCUAAGCCGAGGCGUAAAGCAUAGGCGAUGGACAACCGGUGAAAAUUCCGGUACCGGGUCAGUUUGUUUGAGGAUGGAGUGACGCAGGAAGGAAGCUGAGCGCGCGACUGGUUGGGCGCGUCGAAGGCGGUAGGCUAGUACGGAGGCAAAUCCCCGUACUAUAAGGCCGAGAACCGAUAGAUAGGAGAGACUACGGUCAAUCUGAAUUCAGCCGCACUACACUGCCAAGAAAAGCUUCUAACGAGAACUGAUCCGCCCGUACCAAAACCGACACAGGUAGGCGGGGAGAGAAUCCUAAGGUGCGCGGGAAAACCCUCGUUAAGGAACUCGGCAAAAUGCAUCCGUAACUUCGGGAAAAGGAUGGCCGCAGCUGGUGAAGUUAUUUACUGAUGGAGCUGGAGGCGGCGGCAGAAAAGAGGCCCAAGCGACUGUUUACCACAAACACAGGUGCCUGCGAAAGCGCAAGCUGAAGUAUAGGUGCUGACGCCUGCCCGGUGCAGGAAGGUUAAGGAGAGUUGUUAUCCCUAGAGGAGAAGCAGCGAACUGAAGCCCCUGUAAACGGCGGCCGUAACUAUAACGGUCCUAAGGUAGCGAAAUUCCUUGUCGGGUAAGUUCCGACCCGCACGAAAGGCGUAACGAUUUGGGCACUGUCUCAACGAGGGACCCGGUGAAAUUGAAAUACCUGUGAAGAUGCAGGUUACCCGCGACUGGACAGAAAGACCCCAUGGAGCUUUACUGCAGCUUGGCAUUGGUCUUUGGCAUAUAACGUACAGGAUAGCCGGGAGACUGGGAAAAUAUCUCGCUAGAGGUAUUGGAGUCACCGUUGGGAUACCGGCCUUUAUAUGCUAAGGAUCUAACCGAAACGUUAACAGCGUUCGGGACAGUACCAGGCGGGCAGUUUGACUGGGGCGGUCGCCUCCGAAAGAGCAACGGAGGCGUCCAAAGGUUCCCUCAGCGCGGACAGAAAUCGCGCGCAGAGCAUAAAGGCAGAAGGGAGCUUGACUGCGAGACUGACGGGUCGAGCA